UUAUAUCCAUUAUUUGAUUCUAAACAGUUGAGGAUUUUGAUGGAUGUUUUUGACACCAGGUCACAAACUGCUACAAUAUCUUUUUCAAAAUCAUGUUAGUAUUUGCUGCGGUCCAGUCUCAUUCCAUUCAUACAGUUGUGCUUUUUACCCAAUGUGCUGUAUGCUAAUUCAUUUAUAAUUCAUUUUAUGUUGUCUGUUUGGCAUCUAACGUUUUUUUUUCUCUCUACAACUCAUAGUUUCAAAGUUUUGUUUCCAAUUUCACCACCAGACCUGGUGUAUACAAGCUAACUCACUAAAUAAACAGGGAUAGUUAGCUUAGCAGCCUUAGCUUAGCAGCCUUAGCUUACAUAUGGUAAACUACCUUCCUACAGAACUCAGUAUCAGUAUAGUAACCAGUCAAAGAAAUCUGAAUGUUCUCUUCUGAGAAGAAAAUACACCCUGCUGAUAAAGUUUAAUAACUUGUUCACCGUAAAACACUUCCCCAGACUCGGUUGGUACUUUCUAUUAUCGUUAGCAUCCAGCUCUAUUCUUACUGUAUUAGCAUUCACAUUUCUUUAUUUCCAGGAUUUUAAACCUAUUUAAUGGACAAAUCAGCCAUGUUGAAGCCGCCUCAGCUCCAACAAGUCUUUAGCACAGUUAAAAAAAAUGUACCGUUUAAACUGUGAGGCCCAUAAAGGUAGCAUUUGAGUUAAAGCAGCAAUUUGCAGUGACACGACUCUGCCCGUACAAUUAUAACAUUUACGGUGUAAAUGUGAGCGCAGGCAACAAUUUUUCUGCACCAUAACAACACUUGUUGACCCCCAACAAUCCAGUUGUUAUAGGAGAUAAUGCUUAUUAUUAUAUGACUGAAGACAAAUGGUUCAGUGCGUUAACAAGUACUCUGUGUGACACUGAUGGUAGGUUGGGGUUCCUCACAUGCAGAGUCAGCUUCAGAGGAGAGCGGUGUUUGAACAUCAAGGAGAACUCUACAGGAAGGAAACCCUAAAAGUCUCAGAUUCACAUACACUUUGUGGAGACCAGAAGACACUGGUGGAGCGGCCUCACUGCUGGACGUGGCUCAUGUUGACAUGCAGUCCAGGAAUCUGCUGAAGAGAGGGUCAAAGGUGGAAUGUUGGUACCUGCUCUGGAGGUUGACUGAAAAACAUUAGAUGACUUGCUACUGGGACUUCCUCUGAAGUGCUGAUGGGUCACACGCAUGACCGACAGGUUAACAAGCAGGCAGGUUUGGGAGGCUUUGGAUAGAGGGUCAUGGUCAAAGGUCGGGAUAACAGGGAAAUCCCAGAGAUCAAUGCAGUGACACUCCUCCCCCGGCGAGAUUGUUUCUUCAGGAUCUGCACUAAGACCCAGCUCGCCCGACGAACUCUUCCAUCACAGUCAUGGCUGUAAAUUCCUCAGCAGAAAAACUCUUUGAUCAGCACACAAAAAUGAAGGCGAGGACGUCCGCAUGCCGCUGUCGAGCUGCGCCCCAGGUGCUGCUGGGUCAUCUUUUUCCGACCAACGUCAGGAAUGUUUGUGCAUUGGAUGGUACAGUAAAAAGCCGACAUCUUCUACCACUCCAGCAAAACGAAGUCUUCAUUUAUAAACCUGUUAGAUAUCUGUGUUCACCCUGUUCGUCCUCCCAGCAUGUUGAGUCGGAAUGUGUUCGAUUCCCGACGCUCUCACAGACGCAGAGGGGAACACGAGACGAAAGGGUACUUACAGGAUCAUCUCCUACCAUCAUUGAGGUGUGAACUUGCGACUGCUCCCCCACCUCCCUCUUUACACCCGGCCAGGUGUCAAAGCCCCCACUGAGGUGACACUUAGCACCAGUCUGAGAAGGAGCUGCUCUCAACACCACAAAACCUCUCACACACACACACACACACACACACACACGUAGAGGAAAAGAGUAAUGUGGUGGUUGGGUCUGAAAAUAUUUUUUAUUUUAUAUCCUCACACAGAGACUACAAUGAAAUGUAUCAGUUUAUUGGAAGAACCUUUUCUCCUCAUUCAGCUCAACUCGUACUUAGAAAAUGUCACCUGAUGUAUAUACAGGUACUCAUCAGCGCCUGCUCUCACAGUACAGCACACAGUAACUCACAGUAACUCUGAGUACCGUACCGUUAUCUGGUCUUGUCCUCCCUCCUACUUUCCUUUGAAGAUAAUGAUGUCAAACUGUAGAGGCUGUGUGUGUUCGAGAAAAUGUUUAGGAAGCGUACGUUGCGUUCACACAUAACAGCAAAACUGGUCAGAAUUAACAACAGGAAGCGAAAAGCCUGGACAGUUGACUUUGUUGAUGUCGUUGCGUAAAGAAAAACCAACAGGCUAACGUUUACAUCAAAUGGUUUAGAUUUGGACCAAACUUUAGAAAUAAAAAUAAAAAAAUACUUUACACUCAAAUUGUAACUGCUUGUAAAUUAAAAAAAUAAACCACACAGAAAAAUGUUAGCCAAUUGUUAGCCACGUUAGCUAAGGUUUGCUCUGUUUAGCCACGGCUAAUAUGUUUUAGUCAUGAUGACUCCUUCAGUUGUUUUGUUUUUCUUUACACAUAUUGUUCAAGCACACAACAGUAAUGGAUGAAAUACAUUCAUCACCACAGAGAACAUAAACAUUUGUGGAAGACAGUAGCCAAAUGGUUGCAGAAGUGACCUUGUGAUCUCAGGGUCAGUGGUUCAAAUUCUUGGCCUUCCUUUGCUAACAACACACAGCACCUGCCAAAGAACGAGAGUUUAACAGUGUAGAUCAGAGGUGUCCAAUAAGGAGAUCGCAAUCUACCAGUAGACCACAAAGGGAGUGCUGGUGGAUCGCGAGC